rnacentral:rRNA from 1 species
CCUACGGGUGGCAGCAGUGAGGAAUAUUGGUCAAUGGACGAGAGUCUGAACCAGCCAAGUAGCGUGAAGGAUGACUGCCCUACGGGUUGUAAACUUCUUUUAUAUGGGAAUAAAAUGUUCCACGUGUGGGUUUUUGUAUGUACCAUAUGAAUAAGGAUCGGCUAACUCCGUGCCAGCAGCCGCGGUAAUACGGAGGAUCCGAGCGUUAUCCGGAUUUAUUGGGUUUAAAGGGAGCGUAGGUGGAUUGUUAAGUCAGUUGUGAAAGUUUGCGGCUCAACCGUAAAAUUGCAGUUGAGACUGGCAGUCUUGAGUACAGUAGAGGUGGGCGGAAUUCGUGGUGUAGCGGUGAAAUGCUUAGAUAUCACGAAGAACUCCGAUUGCGAAGGCAGCUCACUGGACUGCAACUGACACUGAGGCUCGAAAGUGUGGGUAUCAAACAGGAUUAGAUACCCCUGUAGUC